rnacentral:rRNA from 1 species
UUUAGUUGAAGAGAACUGGAAAGUUCCGUCGUAGAAGGUAAUAACCCUGUAGGCGAAAAGGAAAGAAAAGUAGAUCUACUCCAGAGUACCACGAGACACGUGAAACCUUGUGGGAAGCUGGGAGGACCAUCUCCCAAGGCUAAAUACUACCUAGUGACCGAUAGUGAAGCAGUACCGUGAGGGAAAGGUGAAAAGAACCCCGGAAGGGGAGUGAAAUAGAAUCUGAAACCGUGUGCCUACAAUCGGUCGGAGCACAUUAAAGUGUGACGGCGUACUUUUUGUAGAACGGGCCAGCGAGUUACGAUAUAUAGCAAGGUUAAGCACUUAUGGUGUGGAGCCGAAGGGAAACCGAGUCUGAAUAGGGCAACUAGUUGUAUAUUGUAGACCCGAAACCGGGGGACCUAUCCAUGGCCAGGAUGAAGCGGAAGUAAAAUUCCGUGGAGGUCCGAACCACGUUGGUGUUGAAAAACCAUGGGAUGAGCUGUGGAUAGCGGAGAAAUUCCAAUCGAACUCGGAGAUAGCUGGUUCUCCUCGAAAUAGCUUUAGGGCUAGCGUCGGGUAAUUGAGUAGUGGAGGUAGAGCACUGAAUGGGCUAGGGGCUGACAACAGUUACUGAACCCUAUCAAACUCCGAAUGCCAUAUACUUGUACCCCGGCAGUCAGACUACGAAUGAUAAGAUCCGUGGUCAAAAGGGAAACAGCCCAGACCAUCAGCUAAGGUCCCAAAGUGUAAGUUAAGUGGGAAAGGAUGUGGGAUUUCUAAGACAACUAGGAUGUUGGCUUAGAAGCAGCCACUCAUUUAAAGAGUGCGUAAUAGCUCACUAGUCGAGAGAUCCUGCGCCGAAGAUGUAACGGGGCUCAAACUUACCACCGAAGCUAUGGAUGUGUACUAUGUACACGUGGUAGAGGAGCUUUCUGUACAGGUUGAAGUCAUACCGUAAGGAGUGGUGGACAGUACAGAAGUGAGAAUGCUGGCAUAAGUAGCGAAAAACAAGUGAGAAUCUUGUUGACCGAAUAUCUAAGGUUUCCUGGG